UCACGUGAAAUUGGACGAUCGCCAACAUACCAUCAUUUCCUGUGAAACGUUUUCGUUCUUUCUUGUAUGUCUGAAUGACAAUAAGCGAACAACGUGCAAACUAGAAAAGGUCGUUUUCACUGUUAGCUCACAUCUCCGGGUUUUGGCUGAUCUAACAAUGACUGCAAACAAGAUUCAUGAGAGACAUCACAGUCACUGUCACUCGACUUUUGUGUGUAGAGUCGUCAAUCUACUAGCGGACGUUCUCUGAUAUCGGACACUUCCAGACACAUAACAGAAACGAGAAUUUCUCUCAUCUAGGGCAUGAAUGUAGAGAAUAGUUACACAGAAACAAGACGUGUUAGAGUGGGCUUGAUCGCUUGAUGUUUCGCUGUUCACGUCGACAAUUAACAAUUUCCCCUGCGGGUACGUACACACCACUUCAAUAUCAGACACACCUUUCCAAUAGCGGCCACCGGUCGGUUUUUGCUAUUGACGGCGCCACAGCUCACAACAGUGUGGCAGGUCAGCACAUCAUCGGUGUCCUGUGGUUCAGAAAUCGAUCACGUGCUGUUUUGGUUGCUGUCCUUGUGCUGAUUUGUUGAUUUUUUCUGUUUUGGAAUGGAAAUUGUUCUGGCUUGGUCAUCGCAAACGUGUAACAGUGAUACCUAAGCUUGUUUCGGCAGAAUAUUGCAAAUCCAAAAGGCAGCGAUAUCUGUCUGGCUCGCCAAUCGUGUACAGUAGGAAAGGUUCGUCAUUAAUAUUGAUGGACGUGUAAUGUGAAACGGUCUCCAAGGUCGCUCAUGAACUCGGUAACGCCAUCGUCUUUCGAGCUCGAUGAAAUUGAAUGUAAGGUUGCACCGAGUGCGAUUGAAGCAGCUGCAGUUGCGAAAUCAAAACAAUCACCUGAUUGAAUCAAGAAAUUCAAGAAUUGAGAAAGCUUCUCGUUUUCUCGAAGUGAAGAGCUAGACAUGCAAGUUGAAUAAAUAGGGCCACAGAACGCUACUAUCUCUGGCUACUAGCAAUAAGGUUGUUAGUAACUCAACAGAGCAGCUGAGAUGCGUCAGAGUCUGCAGUACUGUGAGCUGUCUUUAGAUGUUCUACGACGUAUUGAUGUCCCUAAUCAUAUGCAAUUUGUUUUGUCAGGUCUGAGAGGUGAGAGGUGAGUGAUAGCUCACCCAACCUUGCAAUUGGUUUCGAUGGAGCACUCACCAACCAAGGUUUUGUCUUAUAGAUAUUGCAGGUGAAUUAACGCUGCCAUCUAGAGCCUAAUCUGGAAUGUAACAGUGUCAUUGAAGACUAGUGAUAGGGACUCUUCCAAAGAAUGUAUGCGCUAACAAAGUAAUCGACGUAGGGCUCUGCAGAGCAGACCAGCAGAACAGUUGGUGUCAUCAUGCAACAACAUUCACAGUUAGUAGUCUUGAGUUACAUAGUGCAGUACAGUUCACUGUUGUAAUCUGUCGUAGUUGUAGUGAUAUUUAAAUUUUGGCUGACCAGUCAUUUUGACAAACGUUUUAACAGUUUUAAAUUAAGGUGAUCAAAUUUGUUUAAAGUAUGGCCAGUUGCAUAAAUUUAAACUUCAAAUACCGUAUUUUUACAAAGAUAAUUUCUA